rnacentral:ncRNA from 1 species
AAUGAUAAAUACAAUGAGAGGCAAUAAUUAUAAAAAAAUUGGAGCAAAUCUUUAAAAUUUAUCUUAGUUCGGAUUAUGGGCUGCAACUCGCCCAUAUAAAGUUGGAAUCGCUAGUAAUCGCAAAACAGCAUGUUGCGGUGAAUAU